rnacentral:rRNA from 1 species
UACGUAGGGUGCAAGCGUUAAUCGGAAUUACUGGGCGUAAAGGGUGCGCAGGCGGUUUUGUAAGCCAGAUGUGAAAGCCCCGGGCUUAACCUGGGAAUGGCAUUUGGGACUGCAAGGCUAGAGUGUGGCAGAGGAGACUGGAAUUCCUGGUGUAGCAGUGAAAUGCGUAGAUAUCAGGAGGAAUACCGAUGGCGAAGGCAGGUCUCUGGGCUGACACUGACGCUCAUGCACGAAAGCGUGGGGAGCAAACAGG